UACAGAGGAGCCAAGCGUUGUCCGGAUUGACUGGGCGUAAAGCGCACGUAGGCGGUCAUGUAAGUCAGGAGUGAAAGCCCUCGGCUUAACCGGGGAAGUGCUUUUGAAACUGCAUGACUUGAAUACUGGAGAGGGUCGCGGAAUUCCUGGUGUAGCGGUGAAAUGCGCAGAUAUCAGGAGGAACACCGGUGGCGAAGGCGGGUCUCUGGGCCGAUACUGACGCUGAGGAGCGAAAGCGUGGGGAGCGAACAGG
rnacentral:rRNA from 1 species